rnacentral:rRNA from 1 species
AUUGAACGCUGGCGGCAGGCCUAACACAUGCAAGUCGAGCGGAGCGGCGGACGGGGGCGUGAUGCCUAUGACUCUGCCUGUGAGUGGGGGAUAACGUCCGGAAACGGGCGCUGAUACCGCAUCCUCUCAGAUGCGCCUAGGUCGGAUUAGCUAGUUGGUGGGGUAAAGGCAUACCAAGGCGACGAUCCGUAACUGGUCUGAGAGGAUGAUCAGUCACACUGGAACUGAGACACGGUCCAGACUCCUACGUGAGGCAGCAGUGGGGAAUAUUGGACAAUGGGCGAAAGCCUGAUCCAGCCAUGCCGCGUGUGUGAAGAAGGUCUUCGGAUUGCAAAGCACUUUAAGUUGGGAGGCGUUACCAACAGAAUAAGCACCGGCUAACUCCGUGCCAGCCGCCGCGGUAAUUC